GGCCCAAUGGUCUAGACGUAUGAUACACGCUUCGGGAUUCCCCAUUACGCUUACGUAAUACAAUGUGUGUGGUCCCGGGUUCAAUUCCCGGUUGGGCCC